GCGCGGCUAUCUGCAGUCGAGCGAAUCACUGGGAGCUUGCUCCCGGUGAUUAGCGGCGGACGGGUGAGUAACACGUGGGCAACCUGCCUGUAAGACUGGGAUAACACCGGGAAACCGGUGCUAAUACCGGAUAAUCCUUUCCCUCUCAUGAGGGGAAGUUGAAAGUCGGUUUCGGCUGACACUUACAGAUGGGCCCGCGGCGCAUUAGCUAGUUGGUGAGGUAACGGCUCACCAAGGCGACGAUGCGUAGCCGACCUGAGAGGGUGAUCGGCCACACUGGGACUGAGACACGGCCCAGACUCCUACGAGAGGCAGCAGUAGGGAAUCUUCCACAAUGGACGAAAGUCUGAUGGAGCAACGCCGCGUGAGCGAUGAAGGCCUUCGGGUCGUAAAGCUCUGUUGUUAGGGAAGAACAAGUACCGGAGUAACUGACGGUACCUUGACGGUACCUAACCAGAAAGCCACGGCUAACUACGUGCCAGCAGCCGCGGUAAUACGUAGGUGGCAAGCGUUGUCCGGAAUUAUUGGGCGUAAAGCGCGCGCAGGCGGUCCUUUAAGUCUGAUGUGAAAGCCCACGGCUCAACCGUGGAGGGUCAUUGGAAACUGGGGGACUUGAGUGCAGAAGAGGAAAGCGGAAUUCCACGUGUAGCGGUGAAAUGCGUAGAGAUGUGGAGGAACACCAGUGGCGAAGGCGGCUUUCUGGUCUGUAACUGACGCUGAGGCGCGAAAGCGUGGGGAGCAAACAGGAUUAGAUACCCUGGUAGUCCACGCCGUAAACGAUGAGUGCUAAGUGUUAGAGGGUUCCCGCCCUUUAGUGCUGCAGCUAACGCAUUAAGCACUCCGCCUGGGG
rnacentral:rRNA from 1 species